rnacentral:rRNA from 1 species
UGCAGUCGACGAUGACCACUUCGGUGGGGAUUAGUGGCGAACGGGUGAGUAACACGUGGGCAAUCUGCCCUGCACUCUGGGACAAGCCCUGGAAACGGGGUCUAAUACCGGAUACUGAUCAUCUUGGGCAUCCAAGGUGUUCGAAAGCUCCGGCGGUGCAGGAUGAGCCCGCGGCCUAUCAGCUUGUUGGUGAGGUAAUGGCUCACCAAGGCGACGACGGGUAGCCGGCCUGAGAGGGCGACCGGCCACACUGGGACUGAGACACGGCCCAGACUCCUACGGGAGGCAGCAGUGGGGAAUAUUGCACAAUGGGCGAAAGCCUGAUGCAGCGACGCCGCGUGAGGGAUGACGGCCUUCGGGUUGUAAACCUCUUUCAGCAGGGAAGAAGCGAAAGUGACGGUACCUGCAGAAGAAGCGCCGGGCUAACUACGUGCCAGCAGCCGCGGUAAUACGUAGGGCGCGAGCGUUGUCCGGAAUUAUUGGGCGUAAAGAGCUCGUAGGCGGCUUGUCACGUCGGUUGUGAAAAGCCCGGGGCUUAACCCCGGGUCUGCAGUCGAUACGGGCAGGCUAGAGUUCGGUAGGGGAGAUCGGAUUUCCUGGUGUAGCGGUGAAAUGCGCAGAUAUCAGGAGGAACACCGGUGGCGAAGGCGGAUCUCUGGGCCGAUACUGACGCUGAGGAGCGAAAGCGUGGGGGAGCGAACAGGAUUAGAUACCCUGGUAGUCCACGCCGUAAACGGUGGGCACUAGGUGUGGGCAACAUUCCACGUUGUCCGUGCCGCAGCUAACGCAUUAAGUGCCCCGCCUGGGGAGUACGGCCGCAAGGCUAAAACUCAAAGGAAUUGACGGGGGCCCGCCACAAGCGGCGGAGCAUGUGGCUUAAUUCGACGCAACGCGAAGAACCUUACCAAGGCUUGACAUUACACCGGAAACGUCUGGAGACAGGCGCCCCCUUGUGGUCGGUGGUACAGGUGGUGCAUGGCUGUCGUCAGCUCGUGUCGUGAGAUGUUGGGUUAAGUCCCGCAACGAGCGCAACCCUUGUCCCGUGUUGCCAGCAGGCCCUUGUGGUGCUGGGGACUCACGGGAGACCGCCGGGGUCAACUCGGAGGAAGGUGGGGACGACGUCAAGUCAUCAUGCCCCUUAUGUCUUGGGCUGCACACGUGCUACAAUGGCCGGUACAAUGAGCUGCGAUACCGUGAGGUGGAGCGAAUCUCAAAAAGCCGGUCUCAGUUCGGAUUGGGGUCUGCAACUCGACCCCAUGAAGUCGGAGUCGCUAGUAAUCGCAGAUCAGCAUUGCUGCGGUGAAUACGUUCCCGGGCCUUGUACACACCGCCCGUCACGUCACGAAAGUCGGUAACACCCGAAGCCGGUGGCCCAACCUCCUUUGAGA